rnacentral:misc_RNA from 1 species
GAUGAAGAACGCAGCGAAAUGCGAUACUUGGUGUGAAUUGCAGAAUCCCGUGAACCAUCGAGUCUUUGAACGCAAGUUGCGCCCGAAGCCAUUAGGCCGAGGGCACGCCUGCCUGGGUGUCACACGUCGUUGCCCCCCCAUCUACUCCUUCGGGAUUGCGGGGGGCGGAUGAUGGCCUCCCGUGCGCCUCGUCGCGCGGUUGGCAUAAAUGCCAAGUCCUCGGCGACGCACGCCACGACAAUCGGUGGUUGCGAAACCUCGGUUGCCCGUCGUGUGCGGUCGUCGCGCAUCGAGGGCUCGAAAAAAUUGCCGGGCUUCGGCUCGGCUUUCAACGCGACCCCAGGUCAGGCGGGGUUACCCGCUGAAUUUAAGCAUAUCAAUAAGCGGAGGA